rnacentral:rRNA from 1 species
CCCUUAGAUGUUCUGGGCCGCACGCGCGCUACACUGAUGCAUUCAACGAGUUUCUUCCUGGUCCGAGAGGAAUGGGUAACCUCUUGAAAGUGCAUCGUGAUAGGGAUAGACUAUUGCAAUUAUUGGUCUUCAACGAGGAAUUCCUAGUAGACGUAGUUCAUCAGACUGCAUCGAUUACGUCCCUGCCCUUUGUACACACCGCCCGUCGCUCCUACCGAUUGAAUGCUCAGGUGAGCCAUUCGGACUUUCAUCAUGCUGGUUUCCAGUUUUGAUGAAGGAAUGUCUUGCGAACCUUAUCAUUUAGAGGAAGGAGAAGUCGUAACA